rnacentral:lncRNA from 1 species
GGGGUCAUAACUGGCCACCAAUGGCAAUGGCAUUGGCCAUUGUUUUGAUUUCAACUAGUGUGGUUUCUGCUGCUGCAGAUAGUUAUAUUUACUCUUCUCCUCCACCACCUUACGAGUAUAAGUCGCCACCGCCACCAUCACCUUCACCACCACCUCCUUAUGUUUACAAAUCGCCACCUCCUCCAUCCCCAUCACCUCCACCACCUUAUGAGCACAAGGCUCCUGCUUAUGAGUACAAGUCACCACCACCACCAACUCCUUCACCACCACCUCCUUAUGUGUACAAGUCACCACCACCGCCAUCUCCUUCACCACCACCUCCUUAUGUGUACAAGUCACCACCACCACCCUCACCUUCCCCACCACCACCAUACUACUACAAGAGUCCUCCACCACCUUCUCCUUCACCUCCACCUCCUUACUACUACAAAUCUCCUCCACCACCCUCACCUUCCCCACCACCACCAUACUAUUACAAGUCUCCUCCACCACCAUCUCCCUCACCUCCACCACCAUAUUACUACAAGUCUCCCCCACCACCCUCACCCUCCCCUCCACCCCCAUAUAUACACAAGGAUCCACCAUACUAUUACAAGUCCCCACCACCACCUUCACCAUCUCCUCCACCACCAUACUACUACAAAUCUCCCCCACCCCCUUCACCGUCUCCUCCACCACCAUACUACUACAAAUCUCCUCCUCCUCCAUCUCCUAUUCCCAAAACACCUUACUACUACAAAUCUCCCCCACCCCCUUCACCAUCUCCUCCACCACCAUACUACUACAAAUCUCCCCCACCCCCUUCACCGUCUCCUCCACCACCAUACUACUAUAAAUCUCCCCCACCACCGUCACCCUCUCCACCACCACCUUACUAUUACAAGUCUCCUCCCCCACCUUCACCAUCUCCUCCACCACCAUACUACUACAAAUCUCCUCCUCCUCCAUCUCCUAUUCCCCAUACACCUUACUAUUACAAAUCUCCCCCACCACCUUCACCAUCUCCUCCACCACCAUACUACUACAAAUCUCCUCCUCCUCCAUCUCCUAUUCCCCGUACACCUUACUAUUACAAAUCUCCCCCACCACCUUCACCAUCUCCUCCACCACCAUACUACUACAAAUCCCCUCCUCAUCCAUCUCCCAUUCCCCAUACACCUUACUAUUACACAUCUCCCCCACCACCUUCACCGUCUCCUCCACCACCAUAUUACUACAAAUCUCCUCCCCCUCCGUCUCCUAUUCCCCACACACCUUACUACUACAAGUCCCCACCACCACCAAAGGUCCUUCCACCACCAUACUAUUACAAUUCUCCUCCUCCACCUGUUGUGUAUCCUCACCCAUAUCCCUACCACCACUCACUUAUUGUGAGGGUAGUCGGUAAAGUCUACAGCUUCAGAUGUUAUGAUUGGAAUUAUCCUGCAAAGUCUCAUAACAAGAAACAUCUCAAAGGUACAUUACAUUUCUUAGGACCGGACCUCUUUAGAGUAAUGUGUUUAGAGAUAAUGCACAAUUUUUUAUUUUUUUAUCUCGUAAAGGUUUAUUUAUUAUAAUCACAAUUUCACUUUUGUCAAAAAGAAAAACAAUUUUACUAUAUAUAGUUUUAAUCAUUAACAUUUUGAUGUAAAAAGAAUACAAUUCUCUAUUACCUUUUUACUAUGAUAUAUAUACAAAGAUUAUUCAAAUCUAUAUAUCCAACCUAAUUUCCAUCCAAAAAAAUAGAAAACAUAGGGUGCUUUGAACGCCUGCAGCAUCACAUGAAUAAAUAAAAACAAUCAAUAAUCAACCUUGUUCUAAUUUAUUUUAGACAGCGAUUGUUAAGCAUACUGCUCUUUUAAUUACAUUUUUUUUAAAGAUGCUCUUUUAAUUAUAUUGUCCUAAUAUAAUAUGUGUCUUUAUAUAUUACUUGUCGUAAACUAAUUUUAUUAUGGGUGCAGGAGCUGUUGUUGAGGUGACAUGCAAAGCCGGGAGCAAAAUUGUCAAGGCUUAUGGAAAAACUAAGAACAAUGGAAAGUAUGCCAUCACAGUUAAGGACUUUGACUAUGUCAAAUAUGGUUCGACAGUGUGCAAGGCUGCCCUAUAUGCUCCACCUAAGGGUUCACCCUUCAACAUACCUACAAAGCUAAAUCAAGGAACAAAGUUGUACUUGAAAUCCAAAGACAAGUACGAGGUUGUGCUCAAGGCUAAGCCAUUUGCUUAUGCUUCAAAGAAACAUUUCAAAGAAUGUGAGAAGCCUAAGCCUUCACCAACUCCUUACUACUACAAAUCACCUCCACCUCCCUCACCAGUUUACAAAUACAACUCACCACCUCCACCGGUCCAUUAUUAUUCACCUCCAUACACCUACAAGUCACCUCCUCCCCCUGUGAAAGCGGCACCAACUCCUUACUACUACAAAUCACCUCCACCACCCGCACCGGUUUACAAGUACAACUCACCCCCUCCACCGGUCCAUUAUUAUUCACCACCAUAUACCUAUAAGUCACCUCCUCCCCCUGUGAAAGCGGCACCAACUCCUUACUACUACAAAUCACCUCCACCUCCCGCACCGGUUUACAAGUACAACUCCCCACCUCCACCGGUCCAUUAUUAUUCACCUCCAUAUACCUACAAGUCACCUCCUCCCCCUGUGAAAGUGGCACCAACUCCUUACUACUACAAAUCACCUCCACCACCCGCACCGGUUUACAAGUACAACUCACCACCUCCACCGGUCCAUUAUUAUUCUCCACCAUACUACUACAAGUCACCACCCCCACCAUCUCCAUCACCUCCUCCACCAUACUAUUUCAAAUACUAUUACAAGUCCCCACCUCCACCAUCACCAUCCCCUCCUCCACCUUAUUAUUACAAAUCUCCUCCUCCACCAAAACAAAUUUCACACCCUCCAUACUACUAUAAGUCACCACCCCCACCAUCACCAUCACCUCCUCCACCAUACUAUUAUAAGUCUCCACCUCCACCAUCACCAUCUCCCCCACCACCUUAUUAUUAUAAGUCACCACCCCCACCAUCCCCGUCCCCUCCUCCACCAUACUACUACAAGUCUCCACCUCCACCUAAAGAAAUAUCACAUCCUCCAUAUAACUAUAAGUCACCACCCCCACCAUCACCAUCCCCUCCCCCUCCAUACUAUUACAAAUCUCCUCCACCACCAUCACCAUCACCACCACCUCCCUACUAUUACAAAUCACCUCCACCACCAUCACCAUCACCUCCCCCUCCAUACUAUUACAAAUCUCCUCCACCACCAUCACCAUCACCACCACCUCCUUACUAUUACAAAUCACCUCCACCACCAUCCCCAUCACCACCACCUCCAUACUACUACAAAAGUCCCCCUCCACCAUCUCCAUCUCCUCCAUCCCCAUAUUACUACAAAUCUCCACCACCACCAUCACCAUCCCCACCCCCUCCCUACUAUUACAAAUCACCUCCACCUCCCUCACCAUCACCGCCACCUCCUUACUAUUACAAAUCACCUCCACCUCCCUCACCAUCACCGCCACCUCCUUACUAUUACAAAUCUCCCCCACCUCCAUCUCCAUCUCCACCACCUCCUUACCACUAUCAAAGUCCUCCUCCACCAUCUCCCAUUUCUCAUCCUCCCUACUACUACAAAUCCCCUCCACCACCAUCGCCGUCUCCUCCACCUCCUUACCACUAUGUGAGUCCUCCCCCACCAGUAAAGUCACCUCCACCACCAACUUAUAUCUAUGCUUCACCACCACCACCUCACUACAACUAAGCUCAAAGAGCAGAAGCUCCGUUCAUUAUAAAUCAUGUAAGUUUAUCAUCUUCAAUUUUCUGAAUGUGUGCGUGUGUAUUUGUUUUUUUGUUACAAGAUACUAACAAAAUUCUUUUCUUAUUUAUGUUCAGGUUUUAGUUUUCAUCUAGGAAUAAAGGCAAGCUCCAUUUGGAGUAAAGUGAAACUUCUAGCUUCGUGUCCGAAUUCGUUAAAUAAAUGUCGGGAUGUAUCGUCUUUGAGCUAUAAUAUUUCUGAUCCAGACAAUAUCUAUUUUGUUUCUUUGGUGGCAAUCUUGCACUUCCUGGUCUUAGUCUAUUCAAGUGACAGACAAAUCAAAAGGGAGAAGCGAGAUUAAUUUAUUUGUGAUCUCUUUGAUUUAUUUGUGCAUAUAUCAAUAUGAACGUGUAUGAUAUUUUUCUAUUUAUUGAAGAUUUUUUUACUGUAACCUGUUAUUGUGUUUGUCAAAAGGUGUUAAUAAAGAAUCACAUUCAAUUUCUGUUAAAUUAUCAGUAUUUGUUUCUUUCUAACAACUACCAUUCAUGCAAAUGUGGCUAUUAAAAAAAGCUCCAAUGACACAUAAAAAGCUUCCAAACAAUAUAUAAACAAAGAUGCAUUGUUUUCUGUUAAGAAGGGGACAGGGUUACGGUUACUUGUGUACCAAGUUAGUUAUCCAUGCUUUCUUGUUCAUAGGAUUUAUAUGGUGUAGUUGCACUUAGUUGCUAAAUGUAUGCAAGCUUUUCCUUUCUAUAAAUAAGCACACCUACUAUCAUUCUUCUCCACAUUCCUUUCUACUCUUCUAUCAUGAAUUGUUCAUCCACAUAAGAUGGUCACAGAGCACACCUAAUACUCUGCUACUGGUGUAUCAGUUCCUUUCCACCAGAAACUUAUGAUCUCUAAUUGAAAGAGAUCCUAAAGUUUUAAGAUUUCUACAAAAUACAUUAUUCUCAUUUUUGUACAAGUAUGAUACAAUUAUUCCCAAGUAUUAUUUAUUCUAAGGAAUAGAAUUUAGUUGUGGUUUCUCUAUUUAACCAACAUUUAUUUUUAAAUAACUAAAUUUAAAAAAAAAAUCCUGAAAUUAUUAAGUACAUACCUAACACAUUGUAAAAUUUUGUUCCCAAAGAAAAUAUUUUUGGCAAUAGAAUUUUCAGGAACUUCAUUCCUAGGAAUAUAAUUCUAUACUAAGAGAAGAGCUUAAGCAUUGAUACAUAACAAGACCAAUCCAUAUCCUAAUCACAAUCCUACUUUCACUAAAUACUUUCACUUAAGUGUGGUCUUGGAAAGGACAAAUGAAGAAAGACAUUCCAGAGGUAUGGUAAGGGACAAUAUCUGCAGUUAUGCACAUAUUGCAAGAUUGUGAGGAACUACCGGACUGAUUUGAUUCACCAAAAAAUUUGGAAUAAAUAUUUCAGCCCAGAACUCAGACAAUGACUGGAUUGGAACCUUUCAGCUUCUAAUAUCGGUACUGUCCAAGGAAAUAGUCAUUCUCUUUUUGGAGUAGCUGUGAAGGAUUUAUGGAAAGAUAGAACUAAGCUGGUCUUUUCUAGAAACACCGCGAUUGGAACUACUCUAUUUUGGCUUGUAGCCAAUCCGGCUAAGUUUAUUAACAAUGUAGUUUGUACUCAAGCUCACAGUCACGAUGUUGUCAGCAACAGUGGGCAUAUUGUUUAGGUAGCCUGGAAUUUUCCUCCCCAACACUUCUUCAAAGUGAAUAUGAUGGAUCUCUACGGGAUUAUGUUAGUUUCCAGGAUCGAACUCAGAACCUCCUGAUUAUAACUCCUUCAAUGUAUGUCCCUUACCCACGUGGGGCCUCGGCUGUAAUUGUUAACAUGGUAAAAUUUGGCUCUUCCAAUAAUGGUUUUAUCCAAACUCGAGGUUGUUUAUCGUCUCCAACAAUCAGAUUGGAGAAUACUAGUGGUUCAUGCAUUUGAACAAACCAACUGUUGUGCAGAUUUUCUAGUUGAUUUUGUUUUUCCUUUUUUGAGUAUUUUAUUAGCCAAUGAUAUAAGAGGUUGUAGCCUACCUCUUUUGAUUUCUUAAGACAAUCACUUUUGCAUUAGAAAAAAACGACCCUACAUAAAAUUAAUGAUUGAAUUAAGAUAUAACUUCAGUUUGAAAUAUUGUAAAAUUCUAUACCACCAAAAACUGAGAAUUUUAGAACCAUACAGGUUGGUGGAGUGGUCAUCCAGAUAACUUUAACAUAAUUAACAGUCCAAAAAGUAAAUAGCUUUAUCCUUUAUUUUCAAUCUGAUGUGAUUUACUCUUAUCUGUUAAACAUUAUAAUUAAGAAUCCAAAGGGAACACUCACCUAAUCUCUCUCUUUUUUCUAGCUUUUUCACUAAACCACUGUGUCUGUGGUUACCACAUUUCCUUAUGGAAUCAAUAUCCAAUUUAUGUUAAAAACCAUUUCUACAUUUUGUGUUAAAAAUGAUCUAAACAAAGAUGAUUUAUUUCUCUUAAAUUCAACAUAGAUCAUAUUUACAUGGUUCAAACUUUCUAUUACACGGCAUUGACUUAGUUGCUUCACAUGGGGACACAACUAAUGCAUAUAUUAUUUUAUAUGCUUAUAGUAAUUUUAACAAGUGGCAAUGGGGCAUAUGUUUUGUCAAAAAAACACAAAAAACAGGAGGCAUGUGCAACUGAAGUCACUGCCAGCUUGGCACUAAGAUAUAGUAAAAUAAUUGACAUUUGAAGAAAACAAAGACGUUGCUACAUUUCUAUUCAAACAAGCGACAUCAAUAUCAGACAAUGGUGCUACAUUUAAUAAUACUACAGCUAUCCCCAUAAGCACCUCUUAGAAAGAAAAAAAAAUAUCCAUUAAAUUAAUGUUGGAAGAGUUAGCAACAUGUCCUCUCCCAAAAAAACUCAUGUUUGAUUCCUAGAGUCGUCCAUUUCGAAAGAAGCUCAACCCUGAUAAUAAAAACCUAGAUGUUAUGCUGCAGACUUAAAGAUCAAUUUCAUAAUGGAUCCAAAGGGCCUAAGCUGUGUGGGAUACUUAAGGGGGUAUAUUGAGGCUAAGGGUCAAAGAUCUUAAUUAUGGUCGGUUAAAAAAAGAAGAAAAAAAAAUUAUCUCUAAAUAUAAAGUCAACAAUAUUUCAAAUUGCAAGAUACAUUUAUUUAUUUUUUAAAUAUGUAUAUACCUCUUAUUAAUACUUACUAAUUUGUUUUGAGUGAUAAAAAGUUACGAGUUAGACAGAUCAGCACAUAAAAAAAGUAUUUGAAAAACAUCUACCAACAAAAUAAACACAUUAAAAACAAUACUACUUUUUUACAAUACUGUAUGUGAAAAUGACAAAAUCUUGAAAAAGAUGGAGGUAACAUGUACUCUUUUUUUUUUAGAGGGGAGCAUGUACUUUUCCACUAACAAUGUUGAUAAGAAACAUAUAAAAUACUAUUAGAGAAAGAAAAAAAAUAAUAAAUAAAGAAAUAUAUAAAAUACUGAGGAAUGACUCACUCAUGUCAAAUUUUAGCAAGGGAGAAGUGAUAUCACAUCAUUUUAGAAGAGGAAUGAGAAUAGAUAGAUCUAAUUUUUCUAGUAAGUUUGAAUAGUAGAAUCAUACUUCUUUGUCUUUUGUGAAAAUUUCAUAUUAUGGGAUCUAUUACUAGAAUACAGGUGAUUUUAUUCUGGAAGAUUGACUUUUUAUUAAAAUAAAAUAAAAGUACAUUUUUUAUUUCCAAAUGCUUAGUUGUUCAUUUAUAAAUAUUACAUUAUCCAACAGCACCAAACCCUAUUUCAUAACGGUACUCUGCACGUUUCAUUCAUUUACUGGUGCCUUAGUUUUUUGUUACAAACAGACAUUGAUCAGAGGAACAAAUGUAGAGACAAAUUGAAGAUAAUAUAUCACAUAAUAUUGUAGACACACCUUCACAUACAAAUGGGGUAAAGUCCCUCAUAGUAGUAUUAGAAAUAACACUUAGAGUAAAAUUUUGCUAAAUUUAACAUGAAAAUAAGUGUAAUGUAUUUUAUAGGCAGCUAUACAUAAUUAUUAAUUAGAACAAUUUUUUACACUGUCAAACAAAAAUUGAACAAUUUUUUACUAGCUUUAUGCUUUAUGAUGUUUUGAUUCCAUGUGCACAUUUCAAUUUUAGAACUAUUCCUUUCUAUGUUACUGAAAUAAUUCUAUCAUUAGGCAUUGACAUUUCCAUUAUGCGUGCACGUUAAAGUGUUUUCCCAAACAGAGAAAUAUUAAGAAAGGUUAAACUUUUGACUUAAAGACACAACUAAAAUAAGAUCCAAGGAAAACCCCAUUGAUUAUUUCUUGCACAAAAUUAAAAACCCCAUUGAUUAUUUCUUGCACAAAAUUAAAAUGCUAAUAAUUUUUCCUGGUCUAUAUUUUUCUCCUUCCGGGAAAUGGCAACAUCACAUGUUCAUCUCAUAAUUGAGAAAACACAUGUCUGGGAAAAUAUCUUAAAGAAAAGGCAGUAAAGUAAUAAAAAGUGCACCAAAUAGAGAUUAACUAGUACUCUUUGCAUGUCAACUAAGUGGUAUAAUUAUGUAUAUCACAUUCUUAAUAUUGAUUAUCUUGAUUGCACGAUAAGCCCCUCAAAUUGCUCAAUCGAUGAUUGCUUGAUAAGCCCAUCAAAUUGCCCAAUCGAUCGAAUCGUAACUUUCGAUAGACAUUUUUUUUAAGAAAACCCAAUUGGAUCAUAACUCCCCAUAGUCAUUUAUUUGAAAUUGUGAGCAAUUUGAUAACUUAUUGAGCAAUCACCAUUGAUUUUAGUCUCAAUUUAUCCUAAUGUUGUAACCCUGGAAUAAUGGAACAGUGAGUAAAUUUGGUUUCUCCGUCUCAAAAUAAGUGUCACAAUUUAACCAUGUGCACUACUCAUCAAAUCUACUUUGACAACAUUUUUUUUACUAAUAUAUAAAGACAAUGUUAGUACAUUACAUGUUCGAUUUGUCUUAGUUAAUGUUUUUAAAAUAUCGACUUUAUUAUAAUUUUUCUUAAUAGACAAUCAAAAAUAUCAAUUGUCAAAAUUGUGUAUUGAUAUGUAUGAAAAUCAAACUAUAACACUUACUUUGAGACGAAGAGAAUAACUAUUAAAAACUAAUGUUCAAAUAGAAAGAAAAGAAAACAAAGAUUCCAUACAAAGCUUGCAAAAUAGCUACAAUCAUAACCUAGAACAAAAAUCAUGACCACACACUAUAUCCAUUUUCCUUUUCCUAAAAAGCAAUUGAAGAUAAAAAAAAAAAAAAUAAUAAAUAAAAAAAAAAAAAAAAAAAAAAAAAANACCACCAUACUACUACAAAUCCCCACCUCCACCAUCGCCUUCUCCUCCACCACCAUACUACUACAAAUCCCCACCUCCACCAUCGCCUUCUCCUCCACCACCAUACUACUACAAAUCCCCACCUCCACCAUCGCCUUCUCCUCCACCACCAUACUACUACAAAUCCCCACCUCCACCAUCGCCUUCUCCUCCACCACCAUACUACUACAAAUCCCCACCUCCACCAUCGCCUUCUCCUCCACCACCAUACUACUACAAAUCCCCACCUCCACCAUCGCCUUCUCCUCCACCACCAUACUACUACAAAUCCCCACCUCCACCAUCGCCUUCUCCUCCACCACCAUACUACUACAAAUCCCCACCUCCACCAUCGCCUUCUCCUCCACCACCAUACUACUACAAAUCCCCACCUCCACCAUCGCCUUCUCCUCCACCACCAUACUACUACAAAUCCCCACCUCCACCAUCGCCUUCUCCUCCACCACCAUACUACUACAAAUCCCCACCUCCACCAUCGCCUUCUCCUCCACCACCAUACUACUACAAAUCCCCACCUCCACCAUCGCCUUCUCCUCCACCACCAUACUACUACAAAUCCCCACCUCCACCAUCGCCUUCUCCUCCACCACCAUACUACUACAAAUCCCCACCUCCACCAUCGCCUUCUCCUCCACCACCAUACUACUACAAAUCCCCACCUCCACCAUCGCCUUCUCCUCCACCACCAUACUACUACAAAUCCCCACCUCCACCAUCGCCUUCUCCUCCACCACCAUACUACUACAAAUCCCCACCUCCACCAUCGCCUUCUCCUCCACCACCAUACUACUACAAAUCCCCACCUCCACCAUCGCCUUCUCCUCCACCACCAUACUACUACAAAUCCCCACCUCCACCAUCGCCUUCUCCUCCACCACCAUACUACUACAAAUCCCCACCUCCACCAUCGCCUUCUCCUCCACCACCAUACUACUACAAAUCCCCACCUCCACCAUCGCCUUCUCCUCCACCACCAUACUACUACAAAUCCCCACCUCCACCAUCGCCUUCUCCUCCACCACCAUACUACUACAAAUCCCCACCUCCACCAUCGCCUUCUCCUCCACCACCAUACUACUACAAAUCCCCACCUCCACCAUCGCCUUCUCCUCCACCACCAUACUACUACAAAUCCCCACCUCCACCAUCGCCUUCUCCUCCACCACCAUACUACUACAAAUCCCCACCUCCACCAUCGCCUUCUCCUCCACCACCAUACUACUACAAAUCCCCACCUCCACCAUCGCCUUCUCCUCCACCACCAUACUACUACAAAUCCCCACCUCCACCAUCGCCUUCUCCUCCACCACCAUACUACUACAAAUCCCCACCUCCACCAUCGCCUUCUCCUCCCCCACCUUACUAUUACAAAUCCCCACCGCCACCUUCACCAUCUCCCCCACCACCCUACUACUAUAAAUCACCCCCACCACCUUCACCAUCUCCUCCACCACCAUACUACUACAAAUCACCCCCACCGCCAUAUGAACACAAGACUAAACCAUACUAUUACAAGUCUCCUCCACCACCAUAUGAACACAAGACUAAACCAUACUAUUACAAGUCCCCACCACCACCUUCACCAUCUCCUCCACCACCAUACUAUUACAAGUCCCCACCACCACCUUCACCGUCUCCACCCCCACCAUACUACUACAAAUCACCUCCUCCUCCAUCACCUAUUCCCCAUACACCUUACUACUACAAGUCCCCACCACCACCUAAGGUUCUUCCACCACCAUACUAUUACAACUCUCCUCCUCCACCUGUUGUGUAUCAUCACCCUCAUCCCUACCACCAUGCAUUGAUCGUGAAGGUAGUGG